rnacentral:rRNA from 1 species
CUUAAGCAUAUCAAUAAGCGGAGGAAAAGAAACCAACAGGGAUUGCCCUAGUAACGGCGAGUGAAGCGGCAACAGCUCAAAUUUGAAAGCUGGCCCCCAGGCCCGCGUUGUAAUUUGCAGAGGAUGCUUCUGGCAAGGUGCCUUCCGAGUUCCCUGGAACGGGACGCCACAGAGGGUGAGAGCCCCGUAUGGAUGGACACCGAGCCUGUGUGAAGCUCCUUCGACGAGUCGAGUAGUUUGGGAAUGCUGCUCAAAAUGGGAGGUAAAUCUCUUCUAAAGCUAAAUACCGGCCAGAGACCGAUAGCGCACAAGUAGAGUGAUCGAAAGAUGAAAAGCACCUUGAAAAGGGGGUUAAACAGUACGUGAAAUUGUUGAAAGGGAAGCGCUUGUGACCAGACUUGCGCCGGGCGGCUCAUCAGGGGUUCUCCCCUGUGCACUCCGCCCGGCACAGGCCAGCAUCGGUUCUCGUGGGGGGAUAAGAACGGUGGGAACGUGGCCCCCCUCCGGGGGGGUGUUAUAGCCCGCCGUACGAUACCCUCGUGGGGACCGAGGUUCGCGCUCCGCAAGGAUGCUGGCGUAAUGGUCAUCAGCGACCCGUCUUGAAACACGGACCAAGGAGUCGUCCAUUAGAGCGAGCGUUUGGGUGUAAAACCCGCACGCGUAAUGAAAGUGAACGCAGGUGAGAGCUUCGGCGCAUCAUCGACCGAUCCUGAUGUCCUCGGAUGGAUUUGAGUAAGAGUUUUAACGGACGGACCCGAAAGACAGUGAACUAUGCUUGUAUAGGGUGAAGCCAGAGGAAACUCUGGUGGAGGCUCGCAGCGGUUCUGACGUGCAAAUCGAUCGUCAAAUAUGAGCAUGGGGGCGAAAGACUAAUCGAACUGUCUAGUAGCUGGUUACCGCCGAAGU